UGGGGAUCUAUACAUGCAAGUCGAACGCUUCUUUUUCCACCGGAGCUUGCUCCACCGGAAAAAGAGGAGUGGCGAACGGGUGAGUAACACGUGGGUAACCUGCCCAUCAGAAGGGGAUAACACUUGGAAACAGGUGCUAAUACCGUAUAACAAUCAAAACCGCAUGGUUUUGAUUUGAAAGGCGCUUUCGGGUGUCGCUGAUGGAUGGACCCGCGGUGCAUUAGCUAGUUGGUGAGGUAACGGCUCACCAAGGCCACGAUGCAUAGCCGACCUGAGAGGGUGAUCGGCCACAUUGGGACUGAGACACGGCCCAAACUCCUACGGGAGGCAGCAGUAGGGAAUCUUCGGCAAUGGACGAAAGUCUGACCGAGCAACGCCGCGUGAGUGAAGAAGGUUUUCGGAUCGUAAAACUCUGUUGUUAGAGAAGAACAAGGAUGAGAGUAACUGUUCAUCCCUUGACGGUAUCUAACCAGAAAGCCACGGCUAACUACGUGCCAGCAGCCGCGGUAAUACGUAGGUGGCAAGCGUUGUCCGGAUUUAUUGGGCGUAAAGCGAGCGCAGGCGGUUUCUUAAGUCUGAUGUGAAAGCCCCCGGCUCAACCGGGGAGGGUCAUUGGAAACUGGGAGACUUGAGUGCAGAAGAGGAGAGUGGAAUUCCAUGUGUAGCGGUGAAAUGCGUAGAUAUAUGGAGGAACACCAGUGGCGAAGGCGGCUCUCUGGUCUGUAACUGACGCUGAGGCUCGAAAGCGUGGGGAGCAAACAGGAUUAGAUACCCUGGUAGUCCACGCCGUAAACGAUGAGUGCUAAGUGUUGGAGGGUUUCCGCCCUUCAGUGCUGCAGCUAACGCAUUAAGCACUCCGCCUGGGGAGUACGACCGCAAGGUUGAACCAGAAAAAAAAAAUGGAGGGU
rnacentral:rRNA from 1 species